AUUGAACGCUAGCGGGAUGCUUAACACAUGCAAGUCGAACGAGUGCCGGACGGGUGAGUAAUAUGUCGGAACGUUCCCAGUAGCGGGGGAUAACUACGCUGAAGAGUACCGAUUACCGCAUACUCGUGGAGCUACGCAUAUGGGAUUGGUUAGUUGGUGGGGUAAAGGCUCACCAAGGCGACGAUCCGUAGCUGGUUUGAGAGGACGACCAGCCACACUGGGACUGAGACACGGCCCAGACUCCUACGGGAGGCAGCAGUGGGGAAUUUUGGACAAUGGGGGAAACCCUGAUCCAGCCAUCCCGCGUGUAUGAGAAGGCCUUCGGGUUGUAAAGUACUUUUGGCAGAGAGGCGUUACCUGCAGAAGAAGCACCGGCUAACUACGUGCCAGCAGCCGCGGUAAUUC
rnacentral:rRNA from 1 species